rfam:Stegodyphus mimosarum contig32761, whole genome shotgun sequence.
GCCUUCGUGGUGUAGUGGCCAACAUGCUCGAUGUGUAACCGAGAGGUCCGUGGUUCGAUUCUCGCCGAGGGCA